rnacentral:rRNA from 1 species
UACGUAGGGGGCAAGCGUUGUCCGGAUUCAUUGGGCGUAAAGAGCGUGUAGGCGGCCAGGUAGGUCGGUUGUGAAAACUCGAGGCUCAACCUCGAGAUGUCGGCGGAAACCACUUGGCUAGAGUCCGGAAGAGGAGAGUGGAAUUCCUGGUGUAGCGGUGAAAUGCGCAGAUAUCAGGAGGAACACCGGUGGCGAAGGCGGUUCUCUGGGCAUUACCUGACGCUGAGGAGCGAAAGUGUGGGGAGCGAACAGG